UGCAGUCGAGCGGAACGAGUUAUCUGAACCUUCGGGGAACGAUAACGGCGUCGAGCGGCGGACGGGUGAGUAAUGCCUAGGAAAUUGCCCUGAUGUGGGGGAUAACCAUUGGAAACGAUGGCUAAUACCGCAUAAUGCCUACGGGCCAAAGAGGGGGACCUUCGGGCCUCUCGCGUCAGGAUAUGCCUAGGUGGGAUUAGCUAGUUGGUGAGGUAAGGGCUCACCAAGGCGACGAUCCCUAGCUGGUCUGAGAGGAUGAUCAGCCACACUGGAACUGAGACACGGUCCAGACUCCUACGGGAGGCAGCAGUGGGGAAUAUUGCACAAUGGGCGCAAGCCUGAUGCAGCCAUGCCGCGUGUGUGAAGAAGGCCUUCGGGUUGUAAAGCACUUUCAGUCGUGAGGAAGGUAGUGCAGUUAAUAGCUGCAUUAUUUGACGUUAGCGACAGAAGAAGCACCGGCUAACUCCGUGCCAGCAGCCGCGGUAAUACGGAGGGUGCGAGCGUUAAUCGGAAUUACUGGGCGUAAAGCGCAUGCAGGUGGUUUGUUAAGUCAGAUGUGAAAGCCCGGGGCUCAACCUCGGAAUUGCAUUUGAAACUGGCAGACUAGAGUACUGUAGAGGGGGGUAGAAUUUCAGGUGUAGCGGUGAAAUGCGUAGAGAUCUGAAGGAAUACCGGUGGCGAAGGCGGCCCCCUGGACAGAUACUGACACUCAGAUGCGAAAGCGUGGGGAGCAAACAGGAUUAGAUACCCUGGUAGUCCACGCCGUAAACGAUGUCUACUUGGAGGUUGUGGCCUUGAGCCGUGGCUUUCGGAGCUAACGCGUUAAGUAGACCGCCUGGGGAGUACGGUCGCAAGAUUAAAACUCAAAUGAAUUGACGGGGGCCCGCACAAGCGGUGGAGCAUGUGGUUUAAUUCGAUGCAACGCGAAGAACCUUACCUACUCUUGACAUCCAGAGAACUUUCCAGAGAUGGAUUGGUGCCUUCGGGAACUCUGAGACAGGUGCUGCAUGGCUGUCGUCAGCUCGUGUUGUGAAAUGUUGGGUUAAGUCCCGCAACGAGCGCAACCCUUAUCCUUGUUUGCCAGCGAGUAAUGUCGGGAACUCCAGGGAAACUGCCGGUGAUAAACCGGAAGAAGGUGGGGACAACUUCAAGU
rnacentral:rRNA from 1 species